rnacentral:rRNA from 1 species
AGAAUCAACGCUGGCGGCGUGCCUAACACAUGCAAGUCGAACGAGAAAGUGGAGCAAUCCAUGAGUAAAGUGGCGACCGGGUGAGUAACACGUGACUAACCUACCUUCGAGUGGGGGAUAACCCCGGGAAACCGGGCUAAUACCGCAUAACAUCGCAAGAUCAAAGCAGCAAUGCGCUGGAAGAGGGGGUCGCGGCUGAUUAGCUAGUUGGCGGGGUAACGGCCCACCAAGGCGAAGAUCGGUA